UACGGAGGGUGCAAGCGUUAUCCGGAUUCACUGGGUUUAAAGGGUGCGUAGGAGGGCAGGUAAGUCAGUGGUGAAAUCUCCAAGCUUAACUUGGAAACUGCCGUUGAUACUAUCUGUCUUGAAUGUUGUGGAGGUGAGCGGAAUAUGUCAUGUAGCGGUGAAAUGCUUAGAUAUGACAUAGAACACCAAUUGCGAAGGCAGCUCACUACACGAAUAUUGACACUGAGGCACGAAAGCGUGGGGAUCAAACAGG
rnacentral:rRNA from 1 species